AGAGUAGACUGAGCAGUCGCGUGAUUCACUUCACGAGGAAAGUCCGAGCUCCAUAGGGUAAGGAUGCCAGGUAAUGCCUGGUGGAGGCAACUCCAAGGAUAGUGCAACAGAGAUAAACCGCCAUUAUGGUAAGGGUGGAAAGGUGGGGUAAGAGCCCACCAGCAGUUAGGUAACUAACUGGCUAUGUAAACCCCAUCCGGAGCAAGACCAAGCAGGGGCCGAUAUAAAGAUAACCCGUCUUUGUCCCGUAGGUAGGUCGCUAGAGGCUACUGGCGACAGUAGUCGUAGAUAGAUGACUGUUCAAGACAGAACUCGGCUUAUAGGCCUGCUCAUUUU
rfam:Clostridium sticklandii str. DSM 519 chromosome, complete genome.